rnacentral:rRNA from 1 species
CACUCCUGCGGGAGGCAGCAGUGGGGAAUUUUGGACAAUGGGCGAAAGCCUGAUCCAGCAAUGCCGCGUGAGUGAAGAAGGCCUUCGGGUUGUAAAGCUCUUUUGUCAGGGAAGAAACGGUGAAAGCUAAUAUCUUUUGCUAAUGACGGUACCUGAAGAAUAAGCACCGGCUAACUACGUGCCAGCAGCCGCGGUAAUACGUAGGGUGCAAGCGUUAAUCGGAAUUACUGGGCGUAAAGCGUGCGCAGGCGGUUUUGUAAGUCUGAUGUGAAAUCCCCGGGCUCAACCUGGGAAUUGCAUUGGAGACUGCAAGGCUAGAAUCUGGCAGAGGGGGGUAGAAUUCCACGUGUAGCAGUGAAAUGCGUAGAUAUGUGGAGGAACACCGAUGGCGAAGGCAGCCCCCUGGGUCAAGAUUGACGCUCAUGCACGAAAGCGUGGGGAGCAAACAGGAUUAGAUACCCGUGUAGUCCCAU